rnacentral:rRNA from 1 species
UGCAAGUCGAACGAACUCUGGUAUUGAUUGGUGCUUGCAUCAUGAUUUACAUUUGAGUGAGUGGCGAACUGGUGAGUAACACGUGGGAAACCUGCCCAGAAGCGGGGGAUAACACCUGGAAACAGAUGCUAAUACCGCAUAACAACUUGGACCGCAUGGUCCGAGUUUGAAAGAUGGCUUCGGCUAUCACUUUUGGAUGGUCCCGCGGCGUAUUAGCUAGAUGGUGGGGUAACGGCUCACCAUGGCAAUGAUACGUAGCCGACCUGAGAGGGUAAUCGGCCACAUUGGGACUGAGACACGGCCCAAACUCCUACGGGAGGCAGCAGUAGGGAAUCUUCCACAAUGGACGAAAGUCUGAUGGAGCAACGCCGCGUGAGUGAAGAAGGGUUUCGGCUCGUAAAACUCUGUUGUUAAAGAAGAACAUAUCUGAGAGUAACUGUUCAGGUAUUGACGGUAUUUAACCAGAAAGCCACGGCUAACUACGUGCCAGCAGCCGCGGUAAUACGUAGGUGGCAAGCGUUGUCCGGAUUUAUUGGGCGUAAAGCGAGCGCAGGCGGUUUUUUAAGUCUGAUGUGAAAGCCUUCGGCUCAACCGAAGAAGUGCAUCGGAAACUGGGAAACUUGAGUGCAGAAGAGGACAGUGGAACUCCAUGUGUAGCGGUGAAAUGCGUAGAUAUAUGGAAGAACACCAGUGGCGAAGGCGGCUGUCUGGUCUGUAACUGACGCUGAGGCUCGAAAGUAUGGGUAGCAAACAGGAUUAGAUACCCUGGUAGUCCAUACCGUAAACGAUGAAUGCUAAGUGUUGGAGGGUUUCCGCCCUUCAGUGCUGCAGCUAACGCAUUAAGCAUUCCGCCUGGGGAGUACGGCCGCAAGGCUGAAACUCAAAGGAAUUGACGGGGGCCCGCACAAGCGGUGGAGCAUGUGGUUUAAUUCGAAGCUACGCGAAGAACCUUACCAGGUCUUGACAUACUAUGCAAAUCUAAGAGAUUAGACGUUCCCUUCGGGGACAUGGAUACAGGUGGUGCAUGGUUGUCGUCAGCUCGUGUCGUGAGAUGUUGGGUUAAGUCCCGCAACGAGCGCAACCCUUAUUAUCAGUUGCCAGCAUUAAGUUGGGCACUCUGGUGAGACUGCCGGUGACAAACCGGAGGAAGGUGGGGAUGACGUCAAAUCAUCAUGCCCCUUAUGACCUGGGCUACACACGUGCUACAAUGGAUGGUACAACGAGUUGCGAACUCGCGAGAGUAAGCUAAUCUCUUAAAGCCAUUCUCAGUUCGGAUUGUAGGCUGCAACUCGCCUACAUGAAGUCGGAAUCGCUAGUAAUCGCGGAUCAGCAUGCCGCGGUGAAUACGUUCCCGGGCCUUGUACACACCGCCCGUCACACCAUGAGAGUUUGUAACACCCAAAGUCGGUGGGGUAACCUUUUAGGAACCAGCCGCCUAAGGUGGGACAGAUGAUUAGGGUGAAGUCGUAACA